GUGGCAGACACCAUGAUUCUUCUGCCCGAGACAGACGCUGGUUAGACUCAUGCCGGGACAAGAAACAGGAGUCUGGCCUGCGAGUCCCCUGCAUCAGGGCCAGAAGCUCUCAGUUGCAAGUGGCCUGGGCAGCUCCACAGAAAACUCUCCCCCUGCAGAGAGUGGCCCUCGAGAGCCCAGAAAGUUACGUGAAGGACCAAGACAAUCACUGGCCAGGUCUGAGGUGAUCAGAGGCACUCUGUUCCACAUGCGGGGUCUCCCAGAAAUCUUGGCUAUGCAGGAGAAUUUAAUGCCUGUCUGCUUGCAUGGGUAGCCCUGGGGCACCUGUGGUUCUGGGUCCCCUCCGUGAGGACUGAUGGGAACAACCCUGUCAGAAGAGACCCAAGGGUACACCUAGUCAUUCUGGCCCAGCUCCAUCGUGUGUCCCUUCCUUCCCCUCAGGGCCUCCAAGGGAAGAGCAGCAAAUGGAUUCUCUCUGGAGACAGCUUACAAUAGAAUAAGACCAGAGAGGCCUUUCCAGCUGUCUAUGGAGGCACACACAAGGGACCCAGCACUCAGGAGUCUGAGGCAGGAGGAUUCGUGUUCAGAGGCAGCCUAGACUUUCUGGUAAGAGCUUGUCACUCCAAAAAUUCACAAAGCCAAGACAACAUAAAGUAAAAACAACUCUCCUGUGGUGGUUUUGGGCACCUGGGAGGGAAAAGACUUUCCCCCACAUAGUUACUGUUGUGAACUCUCCAGUCUCACAGCACAGUGCCAAGAGACCAGAGCUUAGCUGUGGGCAGUCACUCCUGCCCUCUCCUUGAGCCAGCACAGAGAGUAGAGUUCUCCUCACCCCCAAGCCUAGUGGUCAGGUGCAUACAGAGGCAUCCCGAGACUGUUGGCUAAGGCUGGGUGGUGCCACAGGGAGCCAGGCAUGGCAGGCCUGGUAAAGACAGAGCAGGGAGCAGAGCAAUGUUCAGGCUUGGAAGUAGGUAGGGGUGAGAGGAGAGGCUCUGCCUUGGCCUGGGCUGUAAGGACUGGUGAGCUGCUGCACUGGUCCCUAUAACCAUAAGCAGGAGUGUCCACGGCCAGUCAGGGCUCUGCUGACUAUCAGUCUCUUUCCCAGGAAGUGCACACCCACUCAUACACAGACAACGAAUGCACACCCACUUGUUCACAGGCAAUCAGUGCACACUCACUCGUACACAACCAGUGCACACCCACGCAUACACAAUCAGUACACAUCCAUGGUUACACAAUCAGUGCACAUCCAUGCAUACAAACAACCAGUGCAUAACCACACAUACACAGACAAUCAGUGCACACCCAUGUGUACAAUCAGCACACACCCACACCCACACAGACAAUUGGGAGCAGUUAGAAAGCCUGCGGACACAUACCAGAUACACAUUCAUAGUAGAUCCACAUCCACAGCUGUAUGUAUUGUACGCGGCCCACACAACACACUGUCAGGGACAGACACGUGUACAUGGAUGUCCUAGACAGAUACACACAUGUCACCAAGGCUGGUAACAAGGCCCCUGAACUCCUUCACAUGGCAUACUGUGUCCCAUCUCAUCUGCGCAUCUGGGGCACAAAGUCGGGCACUUGGGAGACCUUGGUCCUGUCACCAUAACUUGGGUUGCAUCUCAUCAGUCUGCCUGACACGCGUGGUCUCAGGAAUUCUAAUACCCUUCCUCCAUGUUCUCAGACAAAUCAGCCACAGAUAAAGAACUGAGGGAGCCUGGAGUCCCCUCCAGACAUAAAGAAUCUGGGGCCUCAGGCAGACAGACCCGACGACAUCAGCGUUGAGAGAGGCACAGUUCAGGCCAAUUUCAUCCCUGAUGCCUCAGGAUCCUGUGAUCCGGAACACGGCCAGCGCAGAACCUCAGGCUAUCCGACCCUCCCCGGGGGAGACUCCCUGGUUGUUUUGGGGAACUACUCUUGCUCAGCUUCUGAUGGCCCCUCUAUCCCCUCAGCCCAGAGUUGUGGCAUUCUCGAUAUCCCUGGCCCAACAGUAGCUAGAGACAUCGAGUCAGCCCCGGCCACUAGAUGCAGGGACAUCCUCCAUCCCCAGAAUAGCUACACAGAUAGGUCGUGCCAGGCACCAGAAGCCUGUCUCUGGGGAGCUAUGGGUAGUACUGGCUCUCUCCUUCCUCCCUCCAUCACGAGUUUGGGAAACCAUCAGUUAUUAAAUCCUAGCUGCAUGUGUAGCAACACCCUAUAAUUACACAGUGCUUACUGCAGGCCAGGGUCUGUUCUCGGGACUUCUCACGUUCGUUCAUUCAUUCUGUCUCUGGAACAGUACUACAGUGGUUGUCUCUAUGCUCCGUUCCCUUAACUUUGUUUGUUGAGACCGUCAUUCACAGCGUGAGCUGGCCUCAGCCUUGCUAUCCUCUUUCUGCACGCUGGGCACUGGAUUACACUUUCUGCACUACACUAACCGCUCCUUUUUUUUAACAUUUUUUCUUUCUCUCUCUUUUUUAUUUUAUGUAUGUCAAUAAUUUGCCUAGAUAGAUGGAUGUACACUUCAUGUGUGUCUGGUGGCCAUGAAGGCCAUAAGAGAGUGUCAGAUCCCCUGGAACUGGAGUUACAGAGUUAGGAGCCACCCCUUGGGUUCUGGGAACUGAACCUGGGACAUCUGGGAAAGCCUUUGACCGCUGAGCCAUCUCUCCUGCCCCAACAUGCUAUUUUUCUUGAUAACUAAAAUAACAUGUGUCCAGGGCUGGGGAAAGUCUGUAAAAUGUUAGCCUUGCAAGCCUGGGGACCUGAAUUAGGUCCCCAGCACUCAUGUAGAAAGCUGGGCUUGGUAGCAUGCCAUCUGUAACUCCUGUUCUGAGGAAGAAGAGGCAGGAUGGCCCUGGGACAUACUGGCUAGCCAGACAACCCUAAUCAGUGGGCUCCAGACCAGUGAAAGGCCCUGUCUCAAAAAAAACAAACAAAAACAAUAACAAACAGACAAAUGACCCCUAAGGAACAAUACCCAGUGCCAGUGCCAGACGUGGUGGUAUAUGCCUUUAACCCAGCACUUAGGCGGCAGAGGCAGGUGGAUCUCUGAGGUCAAGGCCAGCCUGGUCUACAGAGUAAGUUCCAAGAGAGCCAAAGCUACACUAAGAAACCUUGUCUCAAAAAAACUAAAAACAAAACAAAAACAAAAACAACACCGAAGGUCAAGCUCCAACCUUCACAGCCACGUGGCACACACAAAUAAGUAUAAUGUCUUAUGUAAAACGUGCUAUAUAAACAUGAGAAAAGUCAGACAUGAUGCAAAGUUUCUCCAAACCCCUCCCUGGAAGAUAUGACUUUCAGGUCAGGUCGGUCGGUCGGUCUGUCUGUCUUCCUGCCCAGAACCCUGUCUGCAGCCACAGCUGGUCUAGAAGGAACCGCUUAACCAGUCCCCCACCCCCUCCACACACACACACCAAGCUCCCAGCUCCCCAGGCUGCCUGGGAGACUGCAUUCCUCAGGGUUUCCUAGCUUCCUGGGAACGUCUGGGGUGCUGAUAACCAAAGGAAGCAGCCACCCUCCCAGAGCAGCCCUCCGUGGGAAAGCAGGCCCUCUCCGGCCCCAGCCUCUCCCCUGCUUUUUUUAAACCUGUUUUUUUUUUUUUUUAACCUCCCCCGUUGUCAUUUUGCUGAAUUACCUCCACCACCCCUAAAGACAGAAAGCAGAUCCGUUCACUUUCCAGAGACUGGGGAACCCCUGGGUGGUCACUGAACCUCUAUAAGCCAAAGGGACCACUGGGCUGUGCAAGCCUCUGACCUUCUGUUUAAACCUAAGCUUCACGUCAGGACCUCAAAGAUGAGCUUGGGGAGGAGGUCACUGGGCCCCCUUUUUGUCCCUCUUUCAGUGUGGCCACGUUGAAUAAAUCUCUCUCUGCUUUUUA